UUGGAUGAAGUUCUUUUAAACUAAAGGGGUCUGUUUAAGUCUAGUUUGAUCACUCAUCUUUUGCUGCUGCUAUUCUUUAUUUUACUCUUAUUAUUAUCUAUCCGAUGCCUAGUCACUUUACCCUGCCUUCAUGUUCAUGUAUCUCAAAUACCUCCUACCUCUGCACAUUGUUCUGGUAUUGCUACUCCAUGUAUAUAGCUUCAUUCUUGUGUAUUUUAUUCCUUGUGUUACUAUUUUUCUUUUUAUUCUUAUUUUUUAAACUACACCGUUGGGAAGGGCUCGUAGGCAAACAUUUCAUGGUAAAGCCUACACCAGUUGUAUUCAGCGUAGGUGACAAAAGUUGUGAUUUGAUCAAUAUUGAUUUGAAGGUGGAUUAUUUAAAGAGUCACAUGUUGAAGAAAUGUUGGUCACAUAUGUAUUGUUAGUAUUGCUAUGUGUAUAAUCAAUGUGUUGUAUGUGCUGUACUCAUGUUCUAUAUGUCUGUGGUACUGUGUGAGUGUGUACCUAGUGUUCCCAACCUAAUUUCUCCAGAUCUGAGAAAAAAAAAACAGAAAUAAAAACAUGAAAACUCCCAGGCCAAGCUGCCAGCAAUUUAUGCUGAGUUAGCAGCGAGUUGCUCGCAACUCUUUAAACAAAACACAAGUCAACCCCCCCAAAAAAUCCAGUCAAUCUGGGGCCUGCCCUCUCCCCUCUUUCUCUCUUCCCUGGGCCGUGAUAAACGACUGGCAGAGAGAGAGGUAGUCCAGAGGGCAUCUGGCCAGGUCGCGCGCUCAUGUGUGUGUGUAUGCCGUACUAUACAUGCAUGGGCACUGUGUGUGUGCAUGUGUACGUGUGUGCGUGCUGUGAAUGCAUGUGUGUGUGUGUGGUGUCUCAGGUCCUGCCUGAGAGGCAGAAAUAUGUGCUGAAGUCACAGUUUUUCUCCCACUCUGCCCCUGCGGCCAGUUUCCUCCCAGGAUUCUCAGGAAGCCAGAGGGGAGGCAAGGUGCUGCUUGGUCAAUGUUUCUCUUCACUAGAAAGACUUCCUGUUUUUGAGGGGGAGGACAGAGUUUGAGCACUGACGUAUGACCAAUGGACCCAUUCAGACAAUAGACCAGUCCAGGAAUCAAAGUCAACAUUCAGGAGAAACUCCCCUGGCACAGAACACUGAGCGAAAAAAGGCCAAAGGAAGAAGACUCCCUUAAUUAUGGACUCGGAGAGGAGCUAAUUGUCUCCUUUGGGUCCAGGCUGCGGUCGGAUUGGUUCCCUUUGGUCCAGACUGUAGUCUUAUUGGUUCCUUUGGAUCCAGGCUGUUGUCUGAUUGGUUCUUUUGGGUCCAAAAUGUGGUCUGAUUGGUUACUUUGGGUCCAGGCUGACGCUAUGGUCAGGUGGCCAGACGUGAUGCCAGGAUUCACUCCUCACAUUGUUCCUCUCAGGGACUCAAGCCUUCCGGUGGUAUAUAUGAGUCAGCUGCUCUGCUGUGGACAGGGCAAUUGGCUAGUACACUACAUGAAUACACUACAUGACCAAAAUUAUGUGGACACCUGCUAGUCGAACAUCAUAUUCAAAAAUGGGGAUUAACAUGGUGUUGGUCCCCCCUUUGCUGCUACAACACCCUCUUCUUUGCCGGGAAGGCUUUCCACUAGAUGUUGGAACAUUGCUGAGGGGACUUGCUUCCAUUCAGCCACAAGAGCAUUAGGGAGGUCGGGCACUGAUGUUGGGCGAUUAGGCCCGGCUCGCAGUUGGGGUUCCAAGUCAUCCCAAAGAUGUUCUAUGUUUUUACAUUUUGUUUUUGAACCUUUAUUUAACUAGGCAAGUCAGUUCUUAUUUACAAUGACAGCCUAGGAGUAUUGGGUUAACUGCCUUGUUCAGGGGCAGAUUUUUUUUUUUACCUUGUCAGCUCAGGGAUUCGAUCUAGCAACCUUUCAGUUACUGGCCCAACAGUCUAACCACCUGCCGAGGUGACUUUGUGCACCGGGGCAUUGUCAUGCUGAAACAGGCCUUCCCCAAACUGUUGCCACCAAGUUGGUAACACAGAAGCUUCCAAACUGUCAUUGUAUGACGUAGCGUUAAGAUUUCCCUUCACUGGAACUAAGGGGCCUAGCCUGACUGCCAGAUGGUGAAGCGUGAUUCAUCACUCCAGAGAAUGCGUUUCCACAUCUCCAGAGACCAAUGAAGGCAGGCUUUACACCGCUCCAGUUGAUGCUUGGCAUUGCGUAUGGUGAUCUUAGGCUUAUGUGCGGCUGCUUGGCCAUGGAAACCCAUUUCAUAAACCUCCCGACAAACAGUUAUUUUGCUGACGUUGCUUCCAGAGGCAGUUUGGAACUCGGUAGUGAGUGUUGCAACCGAGGACAGACAAUCUUUAGGUGCUACACACAUCAGCACUCGGCGGUCCCGUUCUGUGAGCUUGUGCGGCCUAUCACUUCGAGGCUGAGCCGUUGUUGCUCCUACACGUUUCCACUUCACAAUAUCAACACUUACGGAGCAGCUCAAGCUGGGCAAAAAUUUGCCGAACUGACUUAUUGGAAAGGUGGCAUCCUAUGACAGUGCCAUGUUGAAAGUUACUUCAGUAAGUCCAUUCUACUGCCAGUGUUUGUCUAUGGAGAUUGCAUGGCGCUGUGCUCGAUUUUAUACACAUGUCAGCAACAAGUGUUGCUGAAAUAGCCAAAUCCACUAAUUUGAUGGGGUGUCCACAUACUUUUCUAUAUAUAGUGUACCUUUGGUAUGAAAAGAUGAAAUGGAAGUAUUACUCAUCACAUGAUGUGGAUUCCACUCUGUAUCUCAGCAACUCUGUAUAUAGCUGCAAUCUCUGUCGUGACCAUGAUGACCCUAGGGACUAGACAGGGAAGUGUCUCAAUAGGCAAGUGAUUUUGUUAUUGGGUGUUGCACUCAACUAAAUAGAAAGGAAGUGAUUCAUAUUCAACUGAAAUAUGAAACAACCAUUUUUCCUGACACCUGUGUCAUUGAAACAGGGCCAUAGUGGAAGCAGAAGGAUGACUUUGAGAGAGAAAAAAAAAAAGCUCUAACGAAGACCUCGAGGCCGAUACAUGUAACUUAAUAAACAGCACUGAUGCUACUGUAGCAAGAGCAGUGUGCGGGUUUCUUCUUUUUUUUCCUCAUCUCAUUCAACUGUUACCAUGCACCUGCACAAAGUCAGCUCAGAUGUGUGAGUGCCUUUUUUGAAUUUUGAGUCAUCAAUGAUUGACAAAUGUCACGGGGCAUUGUUUUGUGUCUACAAUGAGAAUACCCUACGUGUACACAAGCGCACACAUGCUUCCAAGUCUGUUUUAUAAAGAUUCUUUAUCUAUUGCUGAGGUCAGUCCUCCCAAACCUGUAUCGGUUAAAUGAUUUAUAAAGCCUUCCUAAUGCCUUCAUAAAUACUUGUAUUAAUGUGUUACAAAGCAUCUAUGACCAUAUGUCAUGCUUUAUAAAGGGUUCAUACAUGUGACAUAACUGUGUGACAUAAUCACCAAUGUCAAAUGUCACAUAAGCCACUUGUGUCGAAUAUGAUAUAAACAUGUACUUCAUUAAAGGGUGGCACACGA